GACGAACGCUGGCGGCGUGCUUAACACAUGCAAGUCGAACGGAAAGGCCCUGCUUUUGUGGGGUGCUCGAGUGGCGAACGGGUGAGUAACACGUGAGUAACCUGCCCUUGACUUUGGGAUAACUUCAGGAAACUGGGGCUAAUACCGGAUAGGAGCUCCUGCUGCAUGGUGGGGGUUGGAAAGUUUCGGCGGUUGGGGAUGGACUCGCGGCUUAUCAGCUUGUUGGUGGGGUAGUGGCUUACCAAGGCUUUGACGGGUAGCCGGCCUGAGAGGGUGAGCGGCCACAUUGGGACUGAGAUACGGCCCAGACUCCUACGGGAGGCAGCAGUGGGGAAUAUUGCACAAUGGGCGGAAGCCUGAUGCAGCAACGCCGCGUGCGGGAUGACGGCCUUCGGGUUGUAAAACGCUUUCGCCUGUGACGAAGCGUGAGUGACGGUAAUGGGUAAAGAAGCACCGGCUAACUACGUG
rnacentral:rRNA from 1 species